GGGUUGUGAGGUUAAGCGACUAAGCGUACACGGUGGAUGCCCUGGCAGUCAGAGGCGAUGAAGGACGUGCUAAUCUGCGAUAAGCGUCGGUAAGGUGAUAUGAACCGUUAUAACCGGCGAUUUCCGAAUGGGGAAACCCAGUGUGAUUCGUCACACUAUCAUUAACUGAAUCCAUAGGUUAAUGAGGCGAACCGGGGGAACUGAAACAUCUAAGUACCCCGAGGAAAAGAAAUCAACCGAGAUUCCCCCAGUAGCGGCGAGCGAACGGGGAGCAGCCCAGAGCCUGAAUCAGUGUGUGUGUUAGUGGAAGCGUCUGGAAAGGCGCGCGAUACAGGGUGACAGCCCCGUACACAAAAAUGCACAUAUUGUGAGCUCGAUGAGUAGGGCGGGACACGUGGUAUCCUGUCUGAAUAUGGGGGGCCCAUCCUCCAAGGCUAAAUACUCCUGACUGACCGAUAGUGAACCAGUACCGUGAGGGAAAGGCGAAAAGAACCCCGGCGAGGGGAGUGAAAAAGAACCUGAAACCGUGUACGUACAAGCAGUGGGAGCACGCUUAGGCGUGUGACUGCGUACCUUUUGUAUAAUGGGUCAGCGACUUAUAUUCUGUAGCAAGGUUAACCGAAUAGGGGAGCCGAAGGGAAACCGAGUCUUAACUGGGCGUUAAGUUGCAGGGUAUAGACCCGAAACCCGGUGAUCUAGCCAUGGGCAGGUUGAAGGUUGGGUAACACUAACUGGAGGACCGAACCGACUAAUGUUGAAAAAUUAGCGGAUGACUUGUGGCUGGGGGUGAAAGGCCAAUCAAACCGGGAGAUAGCUGGUUCUCCCCGAAAGCUAUUUAGGUAGCGCCUCGUGAAUUCAUCUCCGGGGGUAGAGCACUGUUUCGGCAAGGGGGUCAUCCCGACUUACCAACCCGAUGCAAACUGCGAAUACCGGAGAAUGUUAUCACGGGAGACACACGGCGGGUGCUAACGUCCGUCGUGAAGAGGGAAACAACCCAGACCGCCAGCUAAGGUCCCAAAGUCAUGGUUAAGUGGGAAACGAUGUGGGAAGGCCCAGACAGCCAAGGAUGUUGGCUUAGAAGCAGCCAUCAUUUAAAGAAAGCGUAAUAGCUCACUGGUCGAGUCGGCCUGCGCGGAAGAUGUAACGGGGCUAAACCAUGCACCGAAGCUGCGGCAGCGACGCUUAUGCGUUGUUGGGUAGGGGAGCGUUCUGUAAGCCUGCGAAGGUGUGCUGUGAGGCAUGCUGGAGGUAUCAGAAGUGCGAAUGCUGACAUAAGUAACGAUAAAGCGGGUGAAAAGCCCGCUCGCCGGAAGACCAAGGGUUCCUGUCCAACGUUAAUCGGGGCAGGGUGAGUCGACCCCUAAGGCGAGGCCGAAAGGCGUAGUCGAUGGGAAACAGGUUAAUAUUCCUGUACUUGGUGUUACUGCGAAGGGGGGACGGAGAAGGCUAUGUUGGCCGGGCGACGGUUGUCCCGGUUUAAGCGUGUAGGCUGGUUUUCCAGGCAAAUCCGGAAAAUCAAGGCUGAGGCGUGAUGACGAGGCACUACGGUGCUGAAGCAACAAAUGCCCUGCUUCCAGGAAAAGCCUCUAAGCAUCAGGUAACAUCAAAUCGUACCCCAAACCGACACAGGUGGUCAGGUAGAGAAUACCAAGGCGCUUGAGAGAACUCGGGUGAAGGAACUAGGCAAAAUGGUGCCGUAACUUCGGGAGAAGGCACGCUGAUAUGUAGGUGAAGUCCCUUGCGGAUGGAGCUGAAAUCAGUCGAAGAUACCAGCUGGCUGCAACUGUUUAUUAAAAACACAGCACUGUGCAAACACGAAAGUGGACGUAUACGGUGUGACGCCUGCCCGGUGCCGGAAGGUUAAUUGAUGGGGUCAGCGCAAGCGAAGCUCUUGAUCGAAGCCCCGGUAAACGGCGGCCGUAACUAUAACGGUCCUAAGGUAGCGAAAUUCCUUGUCGGGUAAGUUCCGACCUGCACGAAUGGCGUAAUGAUGGCCAGGCUGUCUCCACCCGAGACUCAGUGAAAUUGAACUCGCUGUGAAGAUGCAGUGUACCCGCGGCAAGACGGAAAGACCCCGUGAACCUUUACUAUAGCUUGACACUGAACAUUGAGCCUUGAUGUGUAGGAUAGGUGGGAGGCUUUGAAGUGUGGACGCCAGUCUGCAUGGAGCCGGCCUUGAAAUACCACCCUUUAAUGUUUGAUGUUCUAACGUGGACCCGUGAUCCGGGUUGCGGACAGUGUCUGGUGGGUAGUUUGACUGGGGCGGUCUCCUCCUAAAGAGUAACGGAGGAGCACGAAGGUUGGCUAAUCUGGUCGGACAUCAGGAGGUUAGUGCAAUGGCAUAAGCCAGCUUGACUGCGAGCGUGACGGCGCGAGCAGGUGCGAAAGCAGGUCAUAGUGAUCCGGUGGUUCUGAAUGGAAGGGCCAUCGCUCAACGGAUAAAAGGUACUCCGGGGAUAACAGGCUGAUACCGCCCAAGAGUUCAUAUCGACGGCGGUGUUUGGCACCUCGAUGUCGGCUCAUCACAUCCUGGGGCUGAAGUAGGUCCCAAGGGUAUGGCUGUUCGCCAUUUAAAGUGGUACGCGAGCUGGGUUUAGAACGUCGUGAGACAGUUCGGUCCCUAUCUGCCGUGGGCGCUGGAGAACUGAGGGGGGCUGCUCCUAGUACGAGAGGACCGGAGUGGACGCAUCACUGGUGUUCGGGUUGUCAUGCCAAUGGCACUGCCCGGUAGCUAAAUGCGGAAGAGAUAAGUGCUGAAAGCAUCUAAGCACGAAACUUGCCCCGAGAUGAGUUCUCCCUGACCCUUUAAGGGUCCUGAAGGAACGUUGAAGACGACGACGUUGAUAGGCCGGGUGUGUAAGCGCAGCGAUGCGUUGAGCUAACCGGUACUAAUGAACCGUGAGGCUUAACCUUACAACGCCGAAG
rnacentral:rRNA from 1 species